CAGUAGCCACGGUAAUGCGUAGGGUGCAAGCGUUAAUCGGAAUUACUGGGCGUAAAGCGUGCGCAGGCGGUUCGCUAAGACAGAUGUGAAAUCCCCGGGCUUAACCUGGGAACUGCAUUUGUGACCGGCGGGCUAGAGUAUGGCAGAGGGGGGUAGAAUUCCACGUGUAGCAGUGAAAUGCGUAGAGAUGUGGAGGAAUACCGAUGGCGAAGGCAGCCCCCUGGGCCAAUACUGACGCUCAUGCACGAAAGCGUGGGGAGCAAACAGGAUUAGAUACCCCUGUAGUCCCUGUCUCUUAUAC
rnacentral:rRNA from 1 species